UCCUCGAGGACUGUUCAGCCCUGCGCAGGGACUGGCUCUCCCGCAGCCAUUUUCUGUCCAACCAAACGGCCGAACUGAGACGCGAACCAACCAGGGCUUCAUCGCAGAUGGACGGAGACAGUUCAACCACAGAUGCCUCCCAGCUUGGCAUAACAGGAGAAUAUAUGGCUGGUAGUCACUUUGUUCUCCAAACUCAGGAUGAUGAAGGUGAUGAGGGACUCAACGACCACGAGGAUGGGAAUGGAAGCAAAGAUAACCUACGGGAGCAAGACAUUUAUCUCCCAAUCGCUAACGUUGCCCGAAUCAUGAAGAAUGGAAUACCGCAAACA